rnacentral:rRNA from 1 species
GACGAACGCUGGCGGCGCGCCUAACACAUGCAAGUCGAACGAGCGAGAGAGAGCUUGCUUUCUCGAGCGAGUGGCGAACGGGUGAGUAACGCGUGAGGAACCUGCCUCAAAGAGGGGGACAACAGUUGGAAACGACUGCUAAUACCGCAUAAGCCCACGGUGCCGCAUGGCACAGAGGGAAAAGGAGCAAUCCGCUUUGAGAUGGCCUCGCGUCCGAUUAGCUAGUUGGUGAGGUAAUGGCCCACCAAGGCGACGAUCGGUAGCCGGACUGAGAGGUUGAACGGCCACAGUGGGACUGAGACACGGCCCAGACUCCUACGGGAGGCAGCAGUGGGGAAUAUUGCACAAUGGGGGAAACCCUGAUGCAGCGACGCCGCGUGGAGGAAGAAGGUCUUCGGAUUGUAAACUCCUGUUGUUGGGGAAGAUAAUGACGGUACCCAACAAGGAAGUGACGGCUAACUACGUG